UACGUAGGGUGCAAGCGUUGUCCGGAAUUAUUGGGCGUAAAGAGCUCGUAGGCGGUCUGUCACGUCGGCUGUGAAAACCUGGGGCUCAACUCCGGAUCUGCGGUGGGUACGGGCAGACUAGAGUGAUGUAGGGGAGACUGGAAUUCCUGGUGUAGCGGUGAAAUGCGCAGAUAUCAGGAGGAACACCGAUGGCGAAGGCAGGUCUCUGGGCAUUAACUGACGCUGAGGAGCGAAAGCAUGGGGAGCAAACAGG
rnacentral:rRNA from 1 species